rnacentral:rRNA from 1 species
UGCCAGCCGCGCGGUAAUACGGAGGGGGUUAGCGUUGUUCGGAAUUACUGGGCGUAAAGCGCACGUAGGCGGAUUAGUCAGUUAGAGGUGAAAUCCCAGGGCUCAACCCUGGAACUGCCUUUAAUACUGCUAGUCUUGAGUUCGAGAGAGGUGAGUGGAAUUCCAAGUGUAGAGGUGAAAUUCGUAGAUAUUUGGAGGAACACCAAUGGCGAAGGCAGCUCUCUGGCUCGUCACUGACGCUGAGGUGCGAAAGCGUGGGUAGCAAACAGGAUUAGAUA